UAUUUUUUUUGGUUCUUGUACAUACUAAUGUUAGAUCCUCGCUGGAGCGAGUGAUAUCUAUAUUCUGGAGACUAUGUAUAUAUAGUGAAAUUGAUGUUUAUUUAUAUUUACAGUUCUGUUAGCAGCUCUAUACUACUAGUUGUAGUUUUGUAUGAUUACAGGUAUAGGUACAGCUAUCGCUUCGUAUACAGGAGAAAUUCUUUUGUAUACAGUGGAUUUGUCGGCGUGCCCGGGAAAACGAGAAAUCCGGGGCGUGACAUUAUACCUAUCCCUGGAAUAGCCAUUUUUUAUUUAUCCCCGAACCAAACGAUACCUUAUAGUCUAAAAUAUCACCAAUACCUUCGUCAAUAUCAGAAUUAUUUUUAAAUAUCCUUAUAAAAAUUUGUGCAAAUAUGAUUUAUUA
rnacentral:lncRNA from 1 species